AUUCGAAGCAACGCGCAGAACCUUACCAGCCCUUGACAUGCCACGACGGUUUCCAGAGAUGGAUUCUUCCCCGCAAGGGGCGUGGACACAGGUGCUGCAUGGCUGUCGUCAGCUCGUGUCGUGAGAUGUUGGGUUAAGUCCCGCAACGAGCGCAACCCUCGCCCUUAGUUGCCAUCAUUCAGUUGGGCACUCUAAGGGGACUGCCGGUGAUAAGCCGCGAGGAAGGUGGGGAUGACGUCAAGUCCUCAUGGCCCUUACGGGCUGGGCUACACACGUGCUACAAUGGCGGUGACAGUGGGAUGCAAUGGAGUAAUCCUGCGCAAAUCUCAAAAAGCCGUCUCAGUUCGGAUUGUGCUCUGCAACUCGAGCACAUGAAGUUGGAAUCGCUAGUAAUCGCAGAUCAGCACGCUGCGGUGAAUACGUUCCCGGGCCUUGUACACACCGCCCGUC
rnacentral:rRNA from 1 species